UCCAGAAGCUUGAGACAUCUGCCCUCAAACUGACAGCGCCUGGGAGGGAGGAAGGGAGGGAAGGAGGGACAGGAUGGGCUGCUUCUGGCCAAGGGGUCCGACCCGCAGAUCUGCCCCUGCCUGGGAAGCUCAGCCAUUUGAAGUAUCCCAGAUGGACAGCUCCUCCUCUCACCCAAUAAGGGCCUGAUCUAUACAGACUUCAAAGGCAGCGUUGACUGAGUAAAACCUUCAGGACUGGACCAAAAUGGACAUGAUUCUCCUCUUAUUUGUAUCCUAUUUACACCAGGGACUUUGAAGUUAUCCCUGAUUCAUAUCAGCUUCAGAGAAUAGUUGGGUCUCAUAUGUCUGGGAAGCAUUUUAUUUGUUCUUUUAUAUAACGAUGAAGGCAACAUUCUGGCUCAAGCACAACCUCAGGCCUGAUGCAGCCGGCAGAUCUGCUCUUUGUGAUGCUCUGUGCUCAUGGAGGGAGUCCCACUGAAAUCAAAGGCAGGAUCCCGCCAAUCCUCAAUGCUUGAAAAUUCCCUUUCAAGUCACAGAAAAAACGCGUCACACUGCCAGUGAAGGAAUGAAACAGCUUCACUAAGGACGUCUCCAUACGCAAAUAUUACGGCUGGAAACAAAAAGAGGAAAGACGAACAGCACUGACAGGAUCCCUCUAAAUGAGAUAUGUUUGCUGUGGAAGCAGAGGCUGACUUCUGCACAAGGUAUAGCUCUACCCUGGGGGGGAAAACGUAAAAACAACUAUGAUUGGAUCCCAUGGUUAUGGUUGCCUUGAUUUUCUAAGCCAAACAUACUCUGCCAGCAAGAUGUUUUUUUCUAAUGGCCAGCCCUGCUACUUCAACCCAGAUGACAAAGGCCACAUCCUAAGCUUCUCAUUCUAGGUCCGGCUGAUGUUGCCCCAGCACUGCAAAGGGAACCUGAAGAUUUUUAAGGCAGCAACUGAAGGCUUCCUAGUGUGGGGACAGCUACUAAAAUAGCCAUCCACUCCCGCCCAGGCCAGUGUAGGGUGUUCCAGGCCUGUAUGGGACGGAUGGCCCGUGGUGCACCCUGGUGCUCUUGGCUGAUAAGGAAACACCUUGAGAAUCAUUAUUUGCCCGCAUAAUCUAGAGCAACUCUAAGGCUGUUCUACCUUGCUCAAAGGCUGAUUUAACCUGCUUCCCCCAAGAUGAAAUGUGGAAAGCCAACAUAAAACCACUUCCCACCCCUAUCUUCAGCCAUUUUUCCAAGGGUAUGCCCUGAAAAAUCAAGCUCGGUUCCUUCUAUCUCAUGCACCAUCAUCAGGACUGAAUAAAGUUUUUGCCAACAUAGGCUUAUAACUGUGGUUUCAUUCAUAUCAGCGUAGAUCAGGACUACCUCAACCAACUAACCAGAGGGCACAUCUGCACAAGACACUACAGUGCAGUCAUUAUUGUGAACAUCUUUUAGAUAAUGCUACCAUGCAGUAGCCAAAUAAUACUGCACAGGUAACGUGUUAGCACUGUCCAUGCUGUGACACACUA